CCCGGCAGCCUGCCGAUGCAUUUCCCUCCACCGCGUAGAACCGCACGACGUCCUCAAAUGGCGCGCGUCAAGAACAAGCGCCACCGUGAGUCAUCAUUCUGUCCUUCACUCGAGUCAUCAAUGUCCAGAAAUCAUUAACUAAUUCACUAAUUCUCAAGUCCAGAGCAGUACUUUUCAGAGGUUUUCCGGUAGAAGCGGCAUCCGACUUCAACAACGUCGUGGAGGCCUUUGGUUACGAUGAGUUACCGUACGUCGGAGGCGUAGCUUCUCGAACCAAGGUCGUUGGUCGGGUUUUCACGGCCAACGGAUCACCGUCGGACCGGCAGAUCCCUUUUCACCACGAAUUGGGCCAGGUACUCAUUGUACUCUGUCCCACAUUUUUGGGCCUUUUGAUUUUAGGGACUUGUACAAGAUCUUUCUGAUUAAUAUCUAUGAAUGGAAAUUGAUUACUUAGUAGCAUCGUUUAAUUUGUAGCUCUGAAUUAUCAAUGUAAUUAAGGGGUUUGAUCUCUGAAAUGACUUAGGUUCGUUCGAAGUACUUGAAAGGAUGUAGAUUGAUGAUUUGAAAUCAUGUUAAAAUGCAUAGAAAUUACAUAUUCUCUGAGAAAGGAAAUCAAGUUACUUGAAAGGAUGAAGAUUGAUUUCCACGAUAAUCAAAUUUGUUUCGCUGCAUGAUAAUAGAGCCUAUGAACAAUUGGUCUUACUAUAACCUACACGUUCUUGCCUUAUAUCAAACAUUUUUGCACCUAACCUUUUCUCUCUACUGUCUUGUGUGUUCCAUCAUAUAUUAGUUCAAAAUGCUUUGUUUACAGUUUGAACAAGAACUUCACUUAUCAAGUCGGUUUAACAUACCUAAACUUUCUCCGGGGCUUGAGGAUUGUUGGGAGGGAGUCCUACGUUAGCUAAUUUAGGUCAUGAUCAUGGUUUUAUAAGUAAGGAAUACAUCUCUAUUGGUACGAGGCUUUUUGGGAAAGCCCAAAGCAAAACCAUGAGAGCUUAUGCUCAAAGUGGACAAUAUCAUACCAUUGUGGAGAUCCGUGAUUUCUAACCUAGCUAAGUUGGAGUGGUUAAAAGAUGGAGUGAAAACAGUAAUGGGUCCAAUCCCAGCUAUCAAGUAUGAUGAAGUACCACAGUGCGAAAUUUGGUUUAACAGCAUGGUUGCAGCUAACACCGGCUGGGAAGAUGCGAGGAAUGUCCUGCGAAGGCCGUAACGUAUCGGGACGGUACGCCAUUGCCAGCUGAUAUCAUCAAUGGCUGCUUGAGAAUUCUGGAACAGGAGUCUCUUUCCAUUCCCUGGCAGAAAGGUAAACCCAUCACGAAGUCUUGAAACUCAGGGACAUUCACGUAGGACCAAGAUUAUGGCAGUUCUGAAGCAGAUGAUUGAUUCAUUGAGACAUCAACUGAAAUCCAAUUAAUGUUGUCAUUGAAGGGGAUGAAAUAAAGCUCGUCUUGUUGUUGAAGCCUUAGCCUAAAGCGCAUCGAGGUGAAUGUCGAACAUUGUCAAAGGCUGACCCCUGCCAAACACGAUCUUGACCAUCUGGGCGACUUGGUUAGAAAACAAUAAGGUAAAUGCAAGCUCACACGGUACAAAUCGUUAAAUAUCGUAGGAAAGCUCUGACACACCUUCCCUGGUGGAAGACGAUUGACAUUUCUUCAUAAAAGUAAUGCAAUCUUAACUAAGUUCGACUCUAUACCAAUUUGAACGCUAUACUAACUUGAGUUUUAGAGUGUAUGCAGCUAAGUACCGCAUUGGUGCGAGAUUUUAUGGAAAUUUUGGAUACAGACUAGAGCUUUCUUCAAACAAGCUCUAACACACAUUUCCUUAAAACAA